GGCUGUACUGCUUACAAUCUAGGGACUGGACGAGGAACGUCUGUGCUAGAAAUGGUUGCAGCUUUUGAAAAAGCUUCCGGCAAGAAAAUACCUAUCAAGCUCUGUCCAAGAAGGGCGGGAGAUGCAACUGCAGUUUAUGCUUCAACAGAGAGAGCUGAGAAAGAACUUGGCUGGAAGU